UUCUUCUUCUUCGACUCUUCCUCUGCUACGACCGCAACAAAGAGGAAGAGGGCAGACGGUGUGGUAGUGGCGGUAGCUGGAUCGACGGUGGCGGCAGCGUGCUGGUACACCGGGUAUGUCCCAUAGACCUUGAGUGAUCAGACGUGAAACUUGAGGUGUUUUGGGUGUUUUGUAGAUGCCCGACAGUUUUGGCGGAUCCAGGGCAGCAGGUUGAUCAGAUGGCUUCAUUCACAUCCUACUGGGGAGGUUUUGGGUCUUUUGUAGUACCGGUGCACCGUGUUUUAGGUUAUAUUGAUGUCUUGUUUUUGUUAGGUAUCAAUCAUAUGGUUUGAGGUAUUUUUGUCAUAUACAUUGAUAUAAUUUUGUAUGAACUGAAAUUGUUAUAUAAAUGAAAGUUUGCCCCAUUGUUUCUAAUGGUAUGGAUCCCUUCUUUUUGAAUUGUUGUGUCGCCGCACUUUAAUGCUUUAUGUUUAGAAAAAAAAAAAUUUGUUUGAGGAUCAAAAGGUUGGGGUGUGACAAUGACAGCUUGAACAAUAGUUGAAAAUCAUAUUAGAUGGCAAUUUUCAUAAACACUUGAAACUCAGAAGGUGAUGUUGGAUGCUAACAAAUAAACCAUACUAAAGACUUCUCAAUCCAAUUUGAUUUGAGAUCGAUAAUUGUUGUUUGGAUGCAUUAUUUGAUUAUAUGAAUGCUACAUUUUAAUUUGUUAUUUGACCUUGAUGUUAUUGAAUGGCAGGUGCAAUGCUAGGGACGUCUGCUUAC